UUCUAUGAAGGAGAUCACAGUAGUCGAGAUUAGUGGUAACCUUUUGAUUUUAGCCCAGUGAAGGGUGAAAUAUAUUAAUAUUAAAAAUGCAGAAGCAGAAAAAAAUUUUUGCGACCUACUAUCAUGGAUCCAUAUAUCUACUAAAAGGAUUUCCAGCUCAUUCAAAAUAGAUUAUUUCCUUAAAACAUUAAUAUAACUUCUUUUUAAGAGAGGACUUCAUGGCAGAGAAAAUAGAAGUCAGAAAAUGAAAGCAUCUUUGGGAGCAUCACCCUUGUCUUAAAUCAAUGAACUAUGUCUUUUAAAAAAAAUGCCACCCAAUUUUUUUUUCCUAAUGGCAAACAUCAACACAGCAAAACAGGAUGCAAUUUUUCUAAAUAAAUAAAUCAAUGAUGUGUCAAAAAUUAACAGAUGAGUUAAUAUACUUGGUGCUAUCAAAACCAGAUGGUGCUUCCUAAUAUUCAUCCUGCUCAGUCAAUCCCUGAAUAUUUUCUGGACCAUCGGUAUAUAAAAUAGGAUGCUGCUAUUUGUGAUGGCAAACAAAAGCAAUCAUGCCUGCCAAGCACAUACUAUAACAGGCAGCAUUUCAGCUCUGCUAGACAGAAAGUAAUUAGAAUGCUUUUAAUGUCCAAAAGAAUGAUGCUGAUAGGCUGCCACAGAUGUGUAGAUUUAUGAAUAUUUAUAUGGUGGUUUAUAGCUGACACUUUUAUCAGUUGAAGAAGAUAAAAUAUCUGCCUGACUCAAAAGCUUGACAGUCAGGUUAAUAAAAUCUCAUUAAAGAGAAUGACCUAUGCAAUUAUAUAGGAUUUAUUGUAAUUCAUUUUUGAUUGUACUCUGCUUAAAGAUGCAAUUUCCCAUUUCCUGAUGCCAAAUUUAGGCUGCAUAUCAAGAUCUAUGUGGGUUUUAACUCUAAGCCUCCCACAGAGGAAAAAUAUGCUUUUAAAACCAUGUUAUACUACCCCUUUUAAGGAAAAUUAUAUUCUUCAUGGAAUUUUAUAAGAAUGUUGAAAAAAUGUAUUUUUAAGCACAUAUUUCUCCUCUCAAAGGUUCACGGCCCUUAAUGGCAAAUAAGAUUUCCCUUCAACCCUUUCAUUUGGUCACUGCAUUUCCUCUGGAUACUCAGUUACCUGUCUUCUUCUAUCCUUGACUCAUUGCAUCACCCAUCGAUGUUUUUGACAAUUUUCAGUUUACUAGGCGGCCUGAGACUUUGCAGGAACACUUUUGUGAGAGUGCAACAAACAAAUCAUCACCCCCACCCCCACCCAGUAUGCCUAAAAGGCUGGCUGGCUGUGCUCACAUACUCAUUGGUUCAAAGUGGAACCACUAGUUCCUCAAAGAGCCAAUCAGCUCUUCAGGUGACUGUCCCUCUGAUGGCCAUUCACAUCACUGUGCCUGUUAAGAGAUGGCUUUGUUCACCAAUGAUUAAUAUUAUAGCCACAGUUGAUGAUGGCUAGUACUAUGACCUUUUAUUUUUGCCCCAGACCAUUUUCCUCAUUGCAUGGAAGACACCUACCAUCCAAUUCCUAUCCUUCCAGCAAGGACAUGGCAUCCUGCCCUUGGUGCUAUCAAGCUUAUUACUUCUCUACGAUCUCUCUUAAAAAGAAGACAGAAGCAGCAGCCUUGAGAAUAAAGGAAAUAAAAAUAGGAAGUUUGAGGGGCAUCAGCAAGGCCCUUUUCACUCCUGUGGAGUCACUGAUGUGAUUUCCACCUGGGCCAGGGAUAAAAUAAACUAGACAGGACAUCAGAAGACACACUGAAAGAGAACAUUUAGAAGAAGGUGAGAAGGAACAAAACCAAACAAACAUACUCCUAUGAACGAAAGAGCAGAGAAACUGCCAGAGUAGGAGGGACCACAGAAAGGACAGCAAGUGACUGGUGCAGAAAAAAGAAAAAAUACAGGAAAAAUAGGAAGGGAUAAACUAUGGAUAAAAAAGAAAAUGAGAGGGGGCGGAUUUAUAGUGUACAAAAGGAAGUAAAAGAUUGAAAGAGAGCAAAGACUGAAAGGAGAAAGCAGGAUGAGACUGAAGACGGAACUGGACAGAUAAAAAGGGGGAAAACCCCCAAGGAACAGGGUGGAACUGAGGUUAUGCAAAGGAGUAAGCAAAAUACAGAAAAUGGGAAAAGGACUCAAACUUCUGAAAAACAAGAUAAAAAUGAAGAACAGAGUCGAAAAAUAAACAUAGGCAUGUGCAAGAAGUAGUAUAGAAGAAAAGAAGAACCCAAACCUGGAAAGAAAGAACACAAAGCUCUUAAGAAGGGGAGAAAACAGAAAAAAAUAAGGAGGAAAAUGGAAGUGAGUGAGUAGCCUAACAAUAAACAUAAAAAUACAAUAGAAUGCUGGGCCAAGAGCAACUGAAGAAAAACACACCCACAGACAAUAAGGACACCAACAGGAGAACCCCACUCAGAGCCGUCAAACAUCUUCAAAUCAGUGAGGGAUGUGACAGAACAAGUCUUCACUAUAACCUGUAAUUAGAUUUUCUUUCUCAAAACCAAUCCUUCAUGUGUCAAAAUAUUGACAAACAACAGAACAUUAGCGUAGGCAUCUAUAACUCAUUUAGAGACAAUGCUCAUAUUUCCAUUACAAAAAAAAGCCUUGAUUCACCGAUAUGCACAAUUUUGGGGGCUCAAAAUGCACUCCAAAGUGCCAUAAAAGGCCUGAGUAGGAACUUUUAGCUCAGACGAGGGGAUAAACGUGGCCACGCGCCCUCAGGGAACGGGGAGCGCCCUUGGGCGCAGGGCGCAGGCCCCAGGCUGUGGCCUUUCCACCAGCCCUCCCUCCUCCCCGCAGCCCGGCAGGAGAGCUGGCUUUUCCCAGGCGGCCGCCUGCAAGCUCCUGGUCAAGGACAGGAGUCUCGCCCCCUGGGGUGGGUGCUCCCCACGAGGCAUUUCCGCAGGACCCGGGCCCAGACGCUCGGGACCCCGCGGGGCAGCAGUGUCCCCGCGGCAGGAGGAGCGUGGGCGGCGGGCCGGCGCGCCUGGGGCUCUCGGGGCCGGGGGGGAGGGGCGGGAUGCCGCCUUCCCCGGAGUCGGCCGCAGGGACGAGCGGCAGUUCCACCGCGUGGCUGGGGCAAGGCGCCCACCGGCUGGGACUCACUCGGGGGUGGGUGGGGAAACAGAGGCACAGAGAGACGGGCCGAGACAACGCGCGCACGAGAAACAGAAGCGCACGGGGAAGGAAAGAGCCCGAGAGCCAGCCGAGCGGACCGCGAGAGUGAGAGUGCAUCAAAGAGGAGGACUCCACCCCAGCUGACGUUGGAAUGUUUUCUCACCGGGGCUUGAACUGCCCCCUUCCUCAUGUAUCAGUGGCUCUUAACUGGUACUAAACAGACAAAAAGAAGGAGGUGGAGGGGGAAGAAGAAGGAGAAACUCUGAUAAAAGACCAAUUUAUCAUCAUCUUUGCCAGGAACGAUGGAUUAGCCUCCUAAAUUGGCCUCCCUAUAUUCACCAGCGACAGCCCUUUGCCAUCUAUUCUUCAUACCCAAGUCCAAGAAAUCUUUUCAAAGUUUAGGAUGCCAUCAGUCUCUUACUUCUCCCUCUCUCAGUUCAAUGUCAACUGAGCUCGGACCUGAGAACUAGAUUAGGAUUAAAGUACGGCGUCAGGACAUGUAAAAUAAGUGACAGUAAAGGUGGUUCAAUGAACCUCACUAAUAAGAUGAGUACAGGGGCUAGAAAAGAAAGGAGCCUUUCAUGAGACUAUUCAAAAGAAUAUAACUCCUCAAGGAAGCAUCUCAAUCCACAUGCACCAUUCCAGGCAUGAUGGAUACACUAGUGAGCAAGAUGAAUCACACAGCUAACGGUCCAGCAAAUCCACAGAGAUGGAGAUAAAAAUAUUAUUGUGUGAAAGCUGGGUUGACUGAGUAAAAAAGAAACAUAAAUUUUAUGAAGAAGAGGUAUCUAACGGUAUUGCCACUAUAAAACACUACUGGAUGCUGUUGACUUAUGAGUGUUGUCAUUGGAGUACUGUUUUCCAAGCCAUUUUGCUGUGUUGGUGGCAAAUUUGCAUGCCAUUUCAUCUGGAACUCCAGACGUCAUGGGGACAAGAUGUUUCGGAUAUGCCACAAUCUACUAGUGCUGCAUGCUACAGGAUGUAUUCAUAUUGCAGUUCUACUCCUGGCCCUGGACUUUCAUGUUCUGACACUAGUGGUCAAACCUAACCAGGAUCCAGAGACCUGGAAGGCUGGGUGAUUCGAUCUAUACAGCUAAGGUAGCUUGAACUGAAGAUGGAGGCCCCACCUGCCCAGCAAGAAGGGUCAGCCUGACCUCUGCUCGUUUUCCUGAGAAGGAUUCCAGCUGGAGCAGGAGAUGCAUCAUCAGAGUGAAGGCACAGGACUGUGAGUUCUGUCAACCAUCAAAAUCCUAUCAAGCUCCUGUGCCAGAGAUUGUGGUAGGAAUGCAAAGAUGAACAUUGCAAAGUCUCUUCCUUUGAGAAACUCAAGAUUAAAGAAAAAAAAUGCAUGUGCUCAGUAAGAGGAAUGUCAUUGUCUUUUGCAGGCAUUCAGAGACUCGGCCUCAAGAAUACUUAACAUUAUUUUUUGUCUUUUUUACCCUCGGCUAAAAGCAGUGCCCCUCUGCUAAGGUUGGCAUGAUACUUCCAGGGUUUCCCCAGCACAGGUUAAGGGUCAUUUUAUGCGGGUGGUUAACAAAAGUGGCUAGCUUUGAGCUCUCUAUAUUGGACACCUGAUUCAAUUUGAGAUCCAAGUCAAUUUCCUCCAUUGAGGAAAUAAUCCAAGGAUGCUUCACUCUGUCCUUCUGAGUGUUCCUUGGGGUGACUUCCUCUGCAUCUGACCUUAGACAUAGCCCACCCACCCGCUUGGCCAGGGCACCCUCCUUAGAGCUCUUGCUCAGUGGAAUUUGGAAUCAAUGCAGCGAAGAGCUUCUCAGAGCAGCUUGGCGCACUGGGCUUCUCUGGAGAAGGUAGUCCUUCAUUUGUUUGUUCCCUAAAGGGACGUUUGCUGAUUGCCUAUUAUGGGCCAGGUGUUAUCUCUGGAGUUAAGAAUUCAAUUGGCUAGACCCAGUUCCUUCCCUCAGAGCCCACAGCAGAGCCAGGAGACAGGCUGGAAGAAAACCAAAGACAAAAAGUGAAACCCAAGAACUGAAAGUAAACCAGACAGUUACAAAUUGUGAUGGGAACCCUGAAGGAAACACAGGAGACUGACAAAGAAAAACCAGGGUCGGGGCCACGGACCUUUGCUGGCUGUCAGGAAGGCUUCUUGGAGGAGGCAAAAUUUAAACUGAAGCCUAAAGAUUGAGAAGGAGGCAGCCAAGCUGGGAACCAGCGGUGAGGUUUCCUGCUGGAAAGAAUAGCAUGCUCAAAGGCUAGGAGAGCAUUGUUGAAUCCUAGGAAGUGAAGCAAAGACAGUGUGGUAGGACACUGGGGAGGGCAUGAGGCAGUGGGCAGUGGCCUGGUUACCAUUUACCUUGGAACCUAAAGGAUGAAAGCCUGGGCGGUUCCAGGGCAGAGAGUUGCUGCCCAGGCAGUUAAAUUGCCUCAGGGUGGGGUGUCAGAGUCGACUCCUCUUUCUCUAGCUCCUUGUGCUUUUUCCUUUGCAUUUUGUUUCAGAUAUUUAUUAAAAAUCAUUAAAGGAUCUGCAAGUACACGCACAGGGAGAUUGAGGAUGAAAAGAAAAUUGAAGAUGCAGAAAGAAGGCAGGAAGAAUAAUCGGAAGUGGAGGGGCAUAUGACUUCUCUGUCUCAGAGAAAUUGUAAAGCACAGCCAUUUGAAGAAGGGGUCUAGCAAGUUCCUACCCACACUCCUGAAACUUCCAUCCUUUGCCAUAAGAAGAGCACGCCCCAGGUAACCAUUAUUCCGUUACUCUGGCCCAAGAAUGAAGAUCUACGGAGCUGACCCAAACUCUACCUGAAAUCCAGCCUAAUCCAGCCAAUCCCAGGUCUGAGACGUGAAUGGAUGUGUUCUAAGACAGCAGUGAUGUGAAAAGCCAAGCCUGGCAGCUCCCGUGAGUGUGGAGUCCUGGUCACACGUAAGACUGACAGACGGACAACAGCAGCAGCACAAACAACCUUGUAGUAUUAGUCAUCUGCCUAAAAUUUCAGAACAGUGGUUACUGCCACAGUUAAUUUUUUGAUCUCAUCAAGAAAUCUGUAUUUCAGGUGUGGAUACAUCCCUGCAGAGAAAUGAAACUGGUCAAGGUAGGAAAGUGGGUGCUUUCAAAUUGACUGGGUCCUCCUAUAGUGGAGCAAGACAGCAGAUGCCCGCAGUGCUCAGCACCCACUAGCUCUCUCCCUUGGUGAGCCUAGUGGCUAAGGUUUCAGGAGCCAAGCAGGGCUAGUCUGGGCCUCCCUGGAAGAUCAGUGAGAUUCACCCAGGCUCUGGUAUAUCUGAUAUGGCCAAUACCUUGCCAGGAGUGUUAUCACUGAGUUUCUUGAGAAUAACACCACUACGAAUUUAAAAACAUAUGCACAUAAACUACUAAGUGUUUAAAUGACAUGCCAAUUAUUCUCUCUGUUUUCUUCUAGCUGAGCACACUCCUCAAUUGUCUUUGUGGGUUUCUUCCAUCUUCUUUAAUUGAUGCUCACCCCAGGGUUUGGUAACUCACUCAUUGACUCAAUUACCACCUGGAGGAUGAAGAUUCCAGACCUCUCCCAAGCUCCUGAUUCUUCCUUCUGCCUUCUGAACCUCUCUUCUUGAAUGUUCCAUUAGUAUCUCAAAAGCAAUAUGUGGGAGAAGAAAACACCUCAUUAUUCUCUUCCAAAACCUGCUGCCCUUCUGCAUUCACCAUUUGAGUGUUUGCACGUGUGUGCAUGUGAAAGUUUUUCAGUAUAAUAUUUGAUACUUUCAAAAAAGAAUAUGACUUAUGUAAGUUAUGAAGCAUAAUUAUAAAAUAUUCAUGAAGACUUCACUUAACUUAGGAAUUAGUACAUGAAGCCAUAUUAUUGCAUCUGUAUGGAAGUUCACUGUCUCAAGCUCUUGACGCAUUCUCAUAGUGUAUCAAUUUCCUAUUGUUGCUAUAACAAGUCACCACAAAUUUAGGGCUUAAAAUAACACAAGCGUAUUAUCUUACAGCUGUGGAGAUCAGAAGUGUAAAAUAGCUCAGCGGGGCUGCUUUCCUUCUAGGGGCUCCGGGGGAAAUGUUGUUCCCUUGCCUUUUCCAGCUUUUAGAGGCUGCCUAUAUUCCUUGGCUCAUUGCUUCCUCCAUCUUCAAAGCCAACAGGAUAACUUGUUCAGAUCUCUCCCUCUCUCUCUCACCUCUGCUUCCAGGGUCAUAUCUCCUUUCUGACUCUGACAGUCUUGCCUCCCUCUUACAAGACCCCUGUGAUUACGAUGGACCCAGCCAUACAGUCCAGGAUCAACUUCCCAUCUCAAACCCAUGAUUUAAUUACACCUGCAAAGUCCUUUUUGCCAUGUAAGGUAGAUUCACAGGUUGUGGAGAUUAGGAGACGGAUGUGUUUGGGGGGGGGGCCAUUAUUCUAUUUACUACACUAUCUUUAAUUGUGUGAUUAUUUCUUUAAGAUAGCAUUAUCAAAUAUGUAUGUAUCCCUAAGAUUUUAAUGUUAAAUUUUGUUUGGCUUUUAACCACAGAAAAAUGGUAAAGUAUAAUACGUAGUCUUCAAUUUUGCUACUUAAUAGUAUGAUUUUGACUCACCCAUGUUAAAUGUAGUUCAUUUAUUUAUAUUACUGUAUAAUGCAUCUUGUUAAUAUACGUAAAAUUAUUUAUCCAUUCUAUAGUUGAUGCAAAUAGUGCUGCUAUGAACAUUGUUGUGUCCUUGGGAAAGAAUGUACAUGGAUUUCUCUAGUGUUUAUAUCUAGGAGUGGAAUUUCUAGGUUAAAGGGUACAUUUUAGGGCUUGUUCAAAAUAGUGGCAAUUUAUUUUUGAAGCUAUUUUACUCUCCCACCAAUAGUGUAUAGAUGUUACCAUUUCUCCAUAUCUUUGCCAUCUAAGCAAUACAGUGAGUAUGCAAAGGCAUUUCAUUGUGGUUUUAAUGUGAAUUUUUCUAAUUGCUUAUAAGAGUGAGCAUCUUUUCAUAAGGUUUUGGCCAAUCAUUAACUCUUCUGGGAAGUGCUUCUUCAUGUAAUUUGCCCAUUUUUUCAUUUGCAGGACUUCUUUAUAUAUUUUGUAGAUUAAUAUUUCAAAUUAAGUCUACCAGGCAGGGUCUUUUUUUUUUUUUUUUUUUUACUUCUUUAUAGUGUCUGAGUAUCAGAUACGAAGUAUCAGAUUCUCAAAUCAGACACACAUGAAUCAGAAGUCUCACCCAGUGUUAAGCUUUACUCAUAAUUCAAAGGAUGCAGGUAAUUUUGAGGCAUAGGCAAAGCAGGGGGAGGUCAGGGAUUAGUAAUAUCACUCUUCAGAGCCUUUCCUGCCACAUUGGAUGCACUUCAGAUUAACACAUGAAGUCUCUAAGCAAUGUGUGAGAUUCACGUCACUUGUACAGAGGGAGGUCAUUUUGAAAAUAAAAUUUCUCCGUCUAUGCACCAUCAAUCCCUAGAUCUCAAGUUUGUUUACCGUGAUCAGUUCUAGACAACCAGAUCUAUUCUGCUAAAAGCCUUCCACAGAUAGGGACGUUUCCAUUCACAAAUUCCAUCAAUUCACUUGCCAAGAUGUCUGUCAUUAGUGUGUUUACAAAGAGAUGAGACCAUGUUCUCUCUUUCCUGGAUUCCUUGCUCCUCAUUCUCCUACUGGAGAGAAUGAAUUACAGACCUGCUUAACCAUUUAUUUCCCAGUGUCUUCGAUUAGAAUGUAUGGUGUGAGGUAAAAAUCCAAUGUAUUUUUUUCUGUAUAGAUAACCAGCUGUGCCAGUAAUUUGUUGAAUUUCAUGAAAAAUUUUUCAUAGAUUGCAAUCUAUAUGAUACUCAGUUGUUGAAAUAUGAGUGAUGUUUUAAAAAUGUGAAUCUUGGGGCUGGUCCCAUGGAGUAGUUGUUAAGUUCAGUGCAAUCUGCUUCAGCAGCCUGGAUUUGUGUGUUCGGAUACUGAGCAUAGACCUACACUACUCAUCAGCUAUUCUGUGCUGGUGACCCACAUAUAUAGUGGAAGAAAAUUGGCACAGAUCUUAGCUCAGGGCUAAUCUUCCUCGAACAAAAAAAGAAGAGGAAGAUUGGCAACAGAUGUUAGCUCAGAGCUAAUCUUCCUCUGCAAAAAAAUUAAUAAAUAAAUAAAAAUGUGAAUCUCAUCAUGCCGUUUCCCUAAUAAACAUCAUUCACAUUCUGGGUAUAAUUAAAACUCCUUAGCAUGCUAAGGUACAUAGGUCUCCAUCUCUUUCUCUGACAUCUCAGGUGCGUCAUGCACUGCUUGCUCCAGUAUAACCAACCUCAUGGCCUUUUCACAGAGUGUUCUCUGCCCUCCUUCAGGGCAAAAUGAUUUCUGACUAGAUAUAAGUUAUCUAUUAUUUAUUUAUUCUUCCUUCUAUUUAUUUAUUUAUUUAUUCUUCCUUCUAUGCAAUAACUCUGCUCCAGAGGCCAAUCACUUUUCAACCCGAAACAUUUAGUGAGGGUUGAAUAUUACACAAAUGUGAAUGAAAGAAGAAAUCUCCAAAGUCGAUUUUAAUAUACUACGUAACCAAUCUAUUACUGAAAAAAAUUGCUUUUAAUUGCAGAAAGAAAUAUCCAAGGAUGAAAGCUUAGUUCAGUUGUGAUCCUUGAAAUCUGAGCUUUUUAAUUAAAAAAAAUGAAGCUAUGGAGUGACCAUAGUCCUCCAACACUAGCACGUUUAGACUGUCAGCCAGGCUAAGGUGUGCAUAAUGUUCAGUGUGAAGGGGCUGUUUGAGGAGCCUAAGUCCUUAGCUUACUACAAAUCUGCCAAGUGACUUAAGAACUGUCUGGGGGCCUGGGCUCCCCAAGUAGAAGCUAAUCAGUAGACUACAUCUCAAACUAUGUUGGGUGAAUUGAAUAAAAGCAAAAAGAUAAUCUAUUUAUCGAGAAAAAUGAAUCAAUUCGAAUUUCUGUAUCAUGUAAAUAAAGCAACCAAUUAAUUAACGAACUAUUUCCCCAUUGUUCUCACUGUGUGGCAGUCUCAUAGUGAGUGGACCACCCAGGGGAUGGAUUUAGACUCUGGAGUCAGUGAGAACAUAGGUGCAUUGGGCAAGUUACUUAAGUUCUGUCUUCUCAUAAGGUUGAUGUGACUAUUAAACAAGGUAACAAAUGGCAAACACCUACCAUAGUACCCGACACAAAGUAGGGGCUUAAACAGUAUUCAGAAAGACCCUCCACACCAAAUAAUGUAAUGUAAAAUUAACUGUCAUUUUGUGACCUUUAUAUUCAGAGGAUUUAUAGCGAUAACUUAACUGAAUGCAAAUAAGUUAAUGUUUCAUUUACAAAAAAGUGAUCAAAAAGUUACCUUUAAUGAAUCAAAAACCCCAAUGUUCACUAAUUAUCGCCAUUUUAUAUGAAGUUCUCCUAAACAGAGUGUUUCUUGUGUGAAUAACUUAUUUUUCCUUCUUAUAAUGAAACCUCUGAGGUCUAGCUAUACCAUCAAGAUGUUAGAAUAUUUUCAUUCAAUUAACUUAAAUUAUGUAAUGUGAAAAUGAAUGAUGGCCAGGAGGCUGAUGGCCAGUGUAAUUCUGGUGAGAAAUUAUAUUUCACACGUUGGUUUAUUUAGUUAGAAUUUUCUUUGGGUAAUAAAAAUAGUGUUAUAUAGAAAUUAGUUGUAUCUAACCUCACACCUACUGCCAUAAAUGACUCUUGCAAAUCCUAAACUAUGAGUGACAGUGACAAAUCUCCCAGAAGGCAAUUUUAUACUAAAACAGAGGUAUCCCAGACCUGCUGGGAAUGAGUUGUUCUGGAUAGCUGAACGUUCCAGAUAGCUGAUUUAAAAUAACAAAACAGUGAAUGUUUCAACUAUUUUGAUUGGAACAUUUUCUAAUUGUAUCAUAAACUUAGUUUUUUCUUAAACAGAUUGUACAAAUUUAUGACACAAGCUUUUCUUUUUUUUCUUUUGAGGAAGAUUAGUCCUGAGCUAACAUCUGCUGCCAAUCCUCC